AAGCAACAGCAUUGCCACAAAAACCUUUGUUAGAUUUUUCAUCUUGUCCUGAAAACCUGUAUUAAGCUACCUUGUUGUGGCAGUGUAACCACAUUAUCAUGCAGCUAACGCAGAUAGCUUAGGUCUGCAGUCCUGACUUUGUAGUCCCAGCUGAUCUCUCUGUUGACUUCAAUAUAUCUGGCUAGAUCUGUAUUGUAUUUUAAAACUACCCUUGACACUGGGCUUACAGCCAGAUUUGCUUGCUAUCUAUACUUAAUGCCUGAGAUAGUGUCCCUUGCACUGGCUCUGUAGCAAUUCUGCUGAUACUGCUGGGGUACGUACUGCAGGUACAUACUUUGCACUGCUGAGUUGUGCCAGCUGCAGAGUGGAUUGCCUCAGCGCUCCGUACUUGGCACAGCCACUUCUGUUUGUCUCAUCUGCAGGAGCAUUUUCUUAACACUGCACAAAAUCCUUUCUAAGAGAUAUCUAUAUUUCUGCUGCAGUUUCGUGCAAUGGCAGUCUGUGUAUGAAGUGGUGGAGUCUUUGGGCAUUCUGGAUGUCAAACUGACCCUGAGAUCAGACAACCCAAACAUUGCUCGUGUGUUGCAAAGCCCUCUGAGCCGUCUGUUUCAGGAUCCUAGAAAAAACAAGGCAUGUGAACAAUUUGCUGUGUACAAGAGGGCUAUUCCACCAGGUAUGGGAAUGCUGGUGCGAGUGUGAGGUACAGUUCAGAUGCUUCAUCUCUUGAAAAACUGUAUCUACCUGACUUGGCAUAUCCAAAGAAGGGGUUCUUUGCAUUGACUUUCGAAAUGAGAAGACCGGCCUCACCUAUACAGAGAAGUUGAAAGAAUGUAAACCUGGGAUAUCAUUGCACAUUUCCUGUACUUUACAUUAAUAUUAAUUUGGUACUCAUGAUUUUACAAGACCAGGAACCAGGGUUCCGUAGAUAAGACCCAAAAAUAACAACUGUUUCUACUGCUUUACAGUUCCUGUGGUCACCUCUACAUGCAAAGGGACCAUACAGACACACUACCAUAUUGUCUACUCAAAUUCCUAGUCUUCUAUAUUUCUUCCUGAUGACCCAUCCUUGUUCUCCCAGAAAUGUCAUCUAUCAAUUAUAAGUUCACUAGUAGGUUUACUAACCUCUCAAAGUACACCCUUCAUAUUAAUAUUACGUCCCACUCACCAAACCUUACUGAAUUUGGAGUGCUGAGUCUGAACUUCAUCCUACUGAAAAAACAAAAACAGGUAUUCAACUCAGGCAUUAUAUCCCUGAGUAGUCUCCUUUCUGAAGUUCUGAGAACAAGCCUUAAGACCUUUCAUUGAUGUGAUACAGCCUCAUUGCUUUCUUCUUAGAGUAAAAUAUAAUAGUCUUAAUUGUUUUUCUCAAAAAUAGGGAUAGAUGGGGCUAGAAUUAUCCUGUCAUGGAUGUAGAGUACCUGGGUAUCAGUUUGCUGAAAGUGGAAUAGUACAAACUUCAUACCUUUUUGGAAGCACAUUCUGAACAAUGAAGUUGAAGACUUAUGUUUCUUUGUAUCAGAAACAAAAAUUGUAAAUAUGAAAACAUGUAAAAAUAAAAAAGCAUGCAAAAGUAUGCAGAAUUUUUACUUUAAGACUGCCUCCUCAUAAAAGAAUAUGUGCCUUUUUCCCAUAAAUUGGUAGUGUUUAAGAUGAAACCAUUUAGUUCACUGGUAGUGUCACUGCAGCUAUGAUGCUCUGAAGAUAAAGGGCAUUGGUGCUGAUUGGUAUAAUUGGAAAAUCAGACCAGCUGUCUAAUUAGAGAAUGUGUUCCCCUCACAGGCUAGUCCGUCAUCCCUACAGA